UAUUAUGUACAUACCUACAACAUAGUGUUAAUGCGUCAGAUAUCAUUAGAACUAUGCAUUUAAAUUCCCUUGGGCUAAAGUACUACUAGGAUGGGUGACCUCCAAGGAAUUCCUAGUAUUUUACAUGC
rfam:Picea glauca, whole genome shotgun sequence.